ACGAUGUGUGUUAGACGUUGGAAAUUUAUUUUCAGUGUCGCAGCGAAAGCAUUAAACACACCGCCUGGGGAGUACGACCGCAAGGUUAAAACUCAAAUGAAUUGACGGGGACCCGCACAAGUAGUGGAGCAUGUGGUUUAAUUCGAAGAUACGCGCAGAACCUUACCAACACUUGACAUGUUCGUCGCGACUUUAAGAGAUUAAAGUUUUCGGUUCGGCCGGACGAAACACAGGUGCUGCAUGGCUGUCGUCAGCUCGUGUCGUGAGAUGUUGGGUUAAGUCCCGCAACGAGCGCAACCCUCACUUUUAGUUGCCAUCAUUAAGUUGGGCACUCUGAAAGAACUGCCAGUGAUAAGCUGGAGGAAGGUGGGGAUGACGUCAAGUCCUCAUGGCCCUUACGUGUUGGGCUACACACGUGCUACAAUGGCAUUUACAAUAGGAAGCAAGAUGGCGACGUCAAGCAAAUCCUAAAAAGAUGCCUCAGUUCGGAUUGUACUCUGCAACUCGAGUACAUGAAGCUGGAAUUACUAGUAAUCGCGGAUCAGCGCGCCGCGGUGAAUACGUUCCCGGGUCUUGUACACACCGCCCGUCACACCAUGGGAGUUGGUUCUACCUUAAGGCAAGGUUUAAAACCCUUGACCACGGUAUAGUCAGCGACUGGGGUGAAGUCAUAACAAGGUAGCCGUA
rnacentral:rRNA from 1 species